rnacentral:rRNA from 1 species
UACGGGGGGGGCAAGCGUUGUUCGGAAUUAUUGGGCGUAAAGGGCGCGUAGGCGGCUUGGCAAGUGGAUGGUGAAAUCCCUCGGCUUAACCGAGGAACUGCCGUCCAAACUGCUUCGCUUGAGACCGGGAGAGGUGAGUGGAAUUCCCAGUGUAGCGGUGAAAUGCGUAGAUAUUGGGAGGAACACCAGUGGCGAAGGCGGCUCACUGGACCGGUACUGACGCUGAGGCGCGAAAGCGUGGGGAGCAAACGGG